rnacentral:tRNA from 2 species
AUUUUUUUAAUAUAACCAAGUAUAUCUGACUUCCAAUCAGAAAGUCUAGUUUCUAGAAAAAAUA